rnacentral:miRNA from 1 species
CUUCCUAGGUGGGGUGUGUGUGUGUGUGUGUGUGUGUGUGUGCGCGCACAUGUGUGUGCCUACCCAUACAACCACACACCGCACUUUCUG